rnacentral:rRNA from 1 species
UACGAAGGGGGCUAGCGUUGUUCGGAAUCACUGGGCGUAAAGCGCACGUAGGCGGAUCUUUUAAGUCAGGGGUGAAAUCCCGAGGCUCAACCUCGGAACUGUCUUUGAUACUGGGGAUCUCGAGUCCGGGAGAGGUGAGUGGAACUGCGAGUGUAGAGGUGAAAUUCGUAGAUAUUCGCAAGAACACCAGUGGCGAAGGCGGCUCACUGGCCCGGAACUGACGCUGAGGUGCGAAAGCGUGGGGAGCAAACAGG